AAGGUGUUAGUUAAAUUAUAACAUUAGAAUGUCAACCUAAAAUAACUAAAUUAGUACACCUUG
rnacentral:tRNA from 1 species